rnacentral:rRNA from 1 species
AUUGAACGCUGGCGGCAGGCCUAACACAUGCAAGUAGAACGAGUUGCGAACGGGUGAGUAACGCGUGGUAACCUGCCUCAUAGCGGGGGAUAACUAUUGGAAACGAUAGCUAAUACCGCAUACUGUGAGAUGGACCUGCGUUGUAUUAGCUAGUUGGUGAGGUAAAGGCUCACCAAGGCGACGAUCCCUAGCUGGUCUGAGAGGAUGACCGGCCACACUGGAACGGAGACAUGGUCCAGACUCCUACGGGAGGCAGCAGUGGGGAAUAUUGCACAAUGGGCGCAAGCCUGAUGCAGCCAUGCCGCGUGGAUGAAGAAGGCCUUCGGGUGGUAAAGUACUUUCAGCGAGGAGGCGUUACUCGCAGAAGAAGCACCGGCUAACUCCGUGCCAGCCGCCGCGGUAAUUC